rnacentral:lncRNA from 1 species
UGAGCACACAGCAGAAAAGGCAUCUAAUUCAAUGUCAAACAUCCAUUACUACACAUUUUUCAAGGAAUUUCUGGCUGCUCACAGGCCUCCUGUUGCCUUAGUAAGAACUCUCCUCUCUUUUGCAAACCCUCUCAGGAACAACAGUGUUUCCUAUCCAACCUUUCAUCACCUCCCUUAGAAAGAACUUGCGAGAAAAUUCUAUUGUGUUCUUCUGCAGAGCAAACUUCCUCUAUGACAGCUUUGCCCAUGCUGGGGUGGAGGCAGAGCUGACCCACAUUUUAUUACUGAAUGACCAAAAAGUGUUUUUUCCAAAACAAAGGAACAAUUCCAUUCUUAGAAGGAAUGUUAUCUUCCUCCAAAGUCAUUUAGGUCAAAUGACUGCCACCAUUAAAAAUAUUAUUUUCUUCCUGUCAGAUCUGCAUCAGGAAUAAUUAUCAGAAAUUGAAAGAGACAAUAGUUUGAACAAGGUAAAAACAUUGGCCAGGAUUUGCUUCCCAUCUUAUUUGGCCCAGAACUUCUACAUUAAAUGUCGAUCACUAUUCUAAAUAUAAUGAUGGUUCAUAUUCGCUGAGCACUUACUGUGGGUCAGUCCCUGUGUCAAGUGACCUACCUACAUUGUCUCAUUCAUCCUUAAAGAAAAAUUUCUAUGCAUAAGACACGACUAUGAACCCUAUUUUAAAGACUGCCCAAAGACAUUCUUUAACUUUCUGAAGGCAACAGGCAGUCAGAACCAGCUUGAAUCUGGGUCGAAGACAACAAAACCUGUGUUUUUAUUCUUCACCAUCCACGUCCCAAUCCUGACAUGAAAACAGCUCGGUGCACAGAUCAAUACAUUCUCAUUCAAAUUUUGUUUUACAUGUUACAGGCAGAAAUAGAGCUAGUUAUAUCUUUGAGUGAUAAAUCACAUUUGAGUAUGGCAUUAUCAAGAUAAAUAAGCAUUUCUGUAUACGACCAGUGUUAUCUACCCUGGCUUUAAACAUUGCUGGCUAUCAUUCCUCCACUCAGCCACACUAUAAUAUCAGUCCUGACAAUGCUUCACACAAAGUAUGUAACAUCCAAGGGUAAACCAAUCUCCAGACUCCUUGGGGAGGAAGGUUAUGUCUUAUACUCUUACACAAUCCAGAAAUAAACAAUUUUCACAUGAGUCAAACUGAAGCCAAUCAUAAAGAAUCUUAUCAAGGGCUCCGGCAAUUAUCCAUCUACUCUUUUCCCUUGACAACUUAUCAAAGUCAGUGUAGUCUCAAGGGUAAAGUUUGAAUCAGAGCUGCUGGAAGAAAAGAAAAAAAGUGCCCUUGAAGCUUGGAACUUCACAAGACCACGCUCCAAUGAACUUGUCCUCCAAAACAGCCUGUUAGACCACAUUACAGGUUCCCAGUAGGAACAGUGCUGGUCCUAGAUGGCAUUUUGAAAACACAUAGGGAUACCUGGGGUUGUCACAAUGAUUGGGGAAAGUGUUACUGGCAUUUAUUAGGCAGAGGCCAGGCCUUUAGAAUUUUCAUGUAGGUGAUAACCCUAUUUAUAAUCAUUAAGUGUAGAAUAUAACUCCAAUUUAUUUUAAAACUCAAAGUAUUUUUCCAUGAUUUUAACACAAACUGGAUUUUGCAGGAAUGCAAUUGCCAUGUAGACCAAGGGAAGAUUUUAGGUCUUUUGUUUGGAACUUUACCAAAUGUUGUCGCCAUUUUAGAAAAUCCGCACCAACAAUGGCAAUAUUGAUUGUGCUAUCUGAAACUCUUCAGUCUGUACCUAGCAGUCUGCACAGGCAGUUUUCACAUUCACGAUUCCCUACACGGGUGUAAACAUCUGACAACUUCAUUAUGUUUUCUAGUAGAGUUGUGUCUGAGCAUUUCUAUCUUAUGAUGCAUGUUUUUUUAUUACAAACUCUUUUCCUUUAAUUUCUCCUUUAUAUUACAAUCUAAGCAUGGCUCUGAUUUGUCAUGGUUGUUAAAAUUGUGUAUUUCAAUGUAAUCUAUGAAUCUCACUUUGGAAAUUAAAAUGUCUGUCACAAAAUGUUCAUUAUAAAAAGUGGAGCUUUGGAUCUGACAGGGCUGAAUCACUGGGAUAUCAAUUUUGACACUCCCUGGGUCACAAUGACAGAUAGAUGGCAGAGCUUUUGCUCCCUUAGUCAUGAGGAAUCCUAAGUACAGGACUGAACUAAAAACUGGCCUCUUCCUCACCUGUUUAUGGAUAGAGAUUAAGCCUCUUU